GACGGAGGGCGGGAUGCAGAGGCCCUCUACAGGCUCUCUUCUAGUUUCCCCUGCCCCACUUCCUGUUUCCUGCUGUCUGCCAGGUGCAUUAUGGGAGUGACCAGCCCCUCCCUUCCAUCCACUUCCGGCUCCUGCACCUGUCUCACCCCUGAGUUCCCCAAGGCCACCUUCAUGGCCUCCAGAGCAUGCUAAGGGCAGAGCCUGGCACAAAAUGAAAAAUCAACAAGCCCUGGCCUUGACCUAAGAAAUGUCAGCACGGAACCGGCGUCGUUCCUAAGUUGGUUGGUCGUUUUCACCUUCUCCAGCUGUACGGCACCUGCCAGCUGUCCCUGGUAAUCCCGCUAGGACAGUGUGGAUUGUUAUCUGAGCCCAAGGCCUGGGGCUAUGCCCCCUAGCCGGGUGUCCAGAGUGCUACUGUCAUCACCUGCAGCCACUGUCUUGUGGAACAGCACGGGGUUGGCCACCAGGACGAGCAGCAUCGGCAGCACCAGGGAUCGAACUCAGGACCUUACACUUGCCAGGCAGGCACAGCACCACUGAGCUACAUCCCCGGCCCUGUUGGGUCCAAUUUUUGAGGAUUUUCUGAAGCACAGAAGAAGUUUGUGAAAGUAUGAAGAGAUGUUUGGAUCAAGUCACCCCUGGGAAACUGGAAAUAAAAUUGCCCCUAAAAUAGA